rnacentral:rRNA from 1 species
GCCAGCAGCCAUAUCACUGAAGCUAAGCAGGUAUGAGCCUGGUCAGUUCCUGGAUGGGAGACCUCCUGGGAAAAACUAAGGUUGCUGCUGGAA